rnacentral:rRNA from 1 species
GGGGGGGGGGGGGGGGGGGGGGGGGGGGGGGGGGGGGGGGGGGGGCGGCGGGGGUGGGGGGGCGCGGGUGGGGGGGGCGUGGGGACCGGCCCGUGGGUGCGGAGUGACUGCCCGAGAGGGGUGGUAGUACCGGAUGAUGGCUGCGGACCAAGGAUUUAGCGCCUUUGGAUGGGCCCGCGUUGGAUUAGCUAGUUGUGAGGGUAAAAGCCUACCAAGGCGACGAUCCAUAGCUGGUCUGAGAGGAGGAUCAGCAACACGGGGACUGAGACACGGCCCAGACUCCGACGGGAGGCAGCAGUGGGGAAUAGUGGACAAUGGGCGAAAGCCUGAUCCAGCAAUGCCGCGUGAGUGAUGAAGGCCUUAGGGUUGUAAAGCGCUUGUACCCGGGAUGAUAAUGACAGUACCGGGAGAAUAAGCUCCGGCUAACUCCGUG